rnacentral:tRNA from 1 species
GCCCGGUUAGCUCAAUCGGUAGAGCGUGAGACUCUUAAUCUCAAGGUUGCGGGUGAGUAGCACACUAUAAAAAAAAAAACCUGUCGUGCGACAAAAUUACUAACCCUACCUCAUAGGUUCGACCCCCGCAUCGGGCU